rnacentral:misc_RNA from 1 species
AGACAAAGUGUAUUACCCACCAUAGUAUACUGAAAUCAAAUGUGACAAUGUAAAGGAAAUGGAAGACUAUGACUGUAUUCAUCUCAGAGUAGCUGCAAAACUGUUGCCCUGUGCUCAAAUUUAGCUUAAAAUGUCAAAUAUCAUUUUUCAAUCAAAUAUUUUUCCACACUGAAUUAAAAAAUUAAGAGUGAUGAAAUAUUAUGGCAUAUAUUUUGUGAAAAAUAAAAAAUUGUCAACUUUUGGGGAGAUCGAGAAAAAAAUUGUAGCGCUGAUGUCUAUCAAUAAUUCGAAUUUUUUGCUUUAAGCAGCUAGUUUUAAAGUAGAGGUACCGUAGCAAAAUUUGUUGAUAGAAUGAUAUAGUACCAGUAAAUGACUUACUUGUACAAGUUUUUGAUUAACAGCUUUAAUGUAUUUAUUGCAUACUAUUAACCAUUUAAUAUUCAAGUCAACCAAUUUAAUGUUACCUUUCAUAAAAAUUAUGUUAGGCCACACCAAUAUAUUUUCUUGUUUGUUGGACCCCGAGUGCUCAUAUUAUAAUAAAACUGUACAAAUAAUAUUAUUAUAAUUUUCCGCAUCAGUAGAUUCUGCGCUGUUUUCUGUUUUAUUUCGCUCUAUUUUUUUGUAUUUUGAAAAUUUUAAAUUUAUAAAUCAGAAACAAGUAGGAAAAAUAUAACCGUCCGCACAAAUUUAUUAAUGUACUGCCUAAAAAUUUUGACUACCAUUAAAAAUGAUUUUAUUGUUUUAUUGCUCGCCCGCCCACACUCUUUUCCAGUGGAUGUCCGACAAACAAGAAAUGAUAUUGGAGUGGCCUUAAGUCUAAUAACGUUUUUUAAAAAUAUACGUUUCUGAAAUCCAAACUUUCUAUUGGUUUCCAUUAUAACUUAUAUUAUAGCACUCUACUACAUGUACUAGUAUAUAAUGUAGUCACUGAACUUUUUUUUUCAACAUUAAUUUUAAAGACACAUUAUGAUUUGAUAUAUGUUAUAAUUGUAAUAAUUUAGAAGUCAAAUUAAAACUUGUUGUUGUAUUGUCUGUAGAUGUAUCCAUUUUGAAUACUUGUGAUAGUUGUUUGUUUGCAAAGUCAUGUGUGAAAUGUUUAUUGUAACAUAAGGUCUAUCAAAUUUAAGAAUCAUUAUUUUAUAAAUAAAGAUGAAAUAUUGUGCUGGACACAUUAAAUAAUGAUAACAC